UACGUAGGGGGCAAGCGUUGUCCGGAUUUAUUGGGCGUAAAGAGCGUGUAGGCGGUUUGGUAGGUCCGUUGUGAAAACUCGAGGCUCAACCUCGAGACGUCGACGGAAACCAUCUGGCUAGAGUCCGGAAGAGGAGAGUGGAAUUCCUGGUGUAGCGGUGAAAUGCGCAGAUAUCAGGAAGAACACCCGUGGCGAAGGCGGCUCUCUGGGACGGUACUGACGCUGAGACGCGAAAGCGUGGGGAGCGAACAGG
rnacentral:rRNA from 1 species